AGCGAAAGCAUGGGGAGCGAACAGGAUUAGAUACCCUGGUAGUCCAUGCCGUAAACGUUGGGCACUAGGUGUGGGGCUCAUUCCACGAGUUCCGUGCCGCAGCAAACGCAUUAAGUGCCCCGCCUGGGGAGUACGGCCGCAAGGCUAAAACUCAAAGGAAUUGACGGGGGCCCGCACAAGCGGCGGAGCAUGCGGAUUAAUUCGAUGCAACGCGAAGAACCUUACCAAGGCUUGACAUGCACGAGAAGCCACCAGAGAUGGUGGUCUCUUUGGACACUCGUGCACAGGUGGUGCAUGGUUGUCGUCAGCUCGUGUCGUGAGAUGUUGGGUUAAGUCCCGCAACGAGCGCAACCCUCGUCCCAUGUUGCCAGCGGGUUAUGCCGGGGACUCAUGGGAGACUGCCGGGGUCAACUCGGAGGAAGGUGGGGAUGACGUCAAAUCAUCAUGCCCCUUAUGUCUUGGGCUUCACGCAUGCUACAAUGGCCGGUACAAAGGGCUGCGAUACCGUAAGGUGGAGCGAAUCCCAAAAAGCCGGUCUCAGUUCGGAUUGGGGUCUGCAACUCGACCCCAUGAAGUCGGAGUCGCUAGUAAUCGCAGAUCAGCAACG
rnacentral:rRNA from 1 species